UAUAUCGCGUCGAAACAACAUGGCGGCUUCCUGUGAGGAAGACAUUUCGUCUUCAAGCGACGAAAAUACACAUGAAAUAUCGUGUUUUAUGUGCAUUUCCCCGUCAAAAAAGUGCAGAAUGACGGCGUUCUCUGGUAAAACAUGGACACGCUUCCUAGAGUACGUCAUCAAAUGGAAAGAUUUGGAUGGUCCUAAAGCACAAAUUGUGAUAGAUUUUGCCGCCGACAACUCGGCAGCUGCAGCAGUGGCAGGCCUUCGCACAACUUUGUAGUGCAGCAAUACCACAACACGGUGGAUACCACACGACUUGCUACGCACGAUUUACAGAUUCUCAGCGCAUUGAAAGAACAACGAAAAGCAUGAGAAAGAAAGCCGAUGCAGCAGCUUCUACAGAAAAAACAGCAACCACAUCACAACUUGAUGAUGAACACAACAUUGGUGAAAGUCCUCAACCAGCCAGAAAGAGAAGAGCUCUUCGUUCCAGCAUGGGCAGACCUCCAGUGCCUGCAAGGUCAAAUUCCCUGAUUAAGCAGAAAAAUUUUCUUCAAAUUACUUCCAGCAUGUACAUUUUAAACAAAUUAAGCUCUAUUUAUAAGGGCGUGAUCACUGGAUCUGCAUAAAAUUUGUAGAUAAAAGGAAGCCAUACAUGUAUCUUUUCUGUGGAAUACAUAAGUCAAUUAAAUUAAGUCUCUGACAUUGUGACAUCUUAAAUUAUAUUAUCAUAAAUUCAGUACAGCAGUGGUUUUAUCAGAAUUGUCUUUGUCAUCCCUCAAAAGUUGUUUGUUACUGACUUCCUAAUGUUGCAUUCAUUGCUCGUAAUCUCGUUUGUAAGGUUUAAGAUUCGUAGAAAUGAGAAACCAUUUAACUUUAGCCACAAUAUACCUGUGGGGGAGAGGGCAAAACAAAGUUUCACAAAUAUUAAUUUCAAAAUGGUACAAAUUAGAAACGAAAUCUUGGCAACCAGAUAAAAAUAGGCUUGGAGCAACUGACAUUGCGGGGUAACUACCUGGUAUGUUAUGACGUCACUUGAUGUUGAUCAUGCUAUCGUGUUAUUUUUUUGUUAUUCACCUGCAAUUGAUGCUCCAAGCAAGUUUUAACUUGUUCUCAUCAUUAUUUUUAAUUAUACAUUAAAAUCAGCAUUAAGCUGUUUGAUAUUUUUUAUGGGUAUAGACCAGCAAGAACCUGUAUUUAUCACAUAAUACAUGAACUGCACAUUACUUGCACAUUGUAAAAGCUUUGUUGACUUGUUAUGUCAAGUAAAAACCAUAACUCCCUUGAGCGUGUACAAAAUGUAUUGAAAAUGGAGAAUUUGGGAUUAUUAUGGUUAAUAAAAAAGUGUACAAUAAGUAUUUUAAAAUAAA